ACUGACUUAUUUUUUCUUUCAGUCUCCAGAGGGUGCUGAAGGCAAGGAUGCAGCAAAAGUAACUAAACAAGAGCCCACAAGACGAUCAGCAAGAUUGUCAGCUAAACCUGCUCCGCCAAAACCUGAACCUAAACCAAGGAAAGCCACUAAGAAGGAACCUGGAACAAAGGCCAGCAAAGGUGCUAAAGGGAAGAAGGAUGAAAAGCAAGAAGCUGCAAAGGAAGGUACUACACCAUCUGAAAAUGGUGAAAAUAAAGCUGAAGAGGCUCAGAAAACUGAAUCUGUAGGUGACAAGAACGAAUGAAUUAUCGUGAAAAUUUUGGGUUGAUUUUAUGUACCUCUCGGACAACUUUUAAAAGAUAUUUUUAUCGAGUAUUUUGUAAAUGCUAAUUUUUUUAGGACUAUGAUAGUUGACAUAUUAAACUGUAUAUGAACAUUUCCCUUCUCAUAACAGUGCUUUUAGAAAUUCCCAUUGUUGCCAAGUAAUAUAAAUAUCAAAUUAAUAUUGCAAGGUAUGUGUAAAAUUGGAUCAGCAUUCCAUACACUUGCUUUACGAAAUCAAGUCUUGUGCAUAUGGUGAUGUUUUUACUGUGUGUAUUUGAAUUUUUCAUGCAGUUUUUCUAGAGCAAUAAUCAGUGGUGCUUUUGUACUUAGGGUUUAUGUGAUUUUAAUGAAACAUGGAUAGAUGUGGCCACCUGCUGACUAUUUUGGGUUCUUUUAAUGGAUUAAAAUAAAAGGUCUCUGCCUGCAAAA